CGAGAGUGGACUAGCUAACUGAAUCAAUUAUAAAAAUUGAUAACAUAAGGGAAAAUAAUGAUAUUACCUUAUUAUUAGUGUCGUCCAAAACUGGUGCCAGAAGACUCGGUAAGGCCUGAGACACAAACGUUAAUCGUCUUAAUCAGGCGUAAAGGGUUUGUAGGCGGCUUUAAAUUUACUUAUAAAAAUAAAAAAUAAGUAAAGAUAAAAGCUAGAAUCAAAUAGAGGAUAUAUGAAAGAAUGCUUAGAGUAGGUCUGAUAUCCUUAGAUACUAAGUAGAAUAUUAAAGGCGAAAGCUUUUUUCCAUUAAUGAUUGACGCUCAGAAACGAAGGUGAGGAUAGGAAAUAGGAUUAGAUACCCAGAAUACCCCUCUCUGUCAACGAUGAAUGGUAGUUAUUAGUAAAAAUUAUUAAUGGCAAUGUUAACACGAUAACCAUUCCGCCUUGUGAGUACAAUUGCAAAGUUGAAAACAAAAAAAUUAGUCGGUUUCGGAGCAAACGAAGUGAAGCAUGUUAUUUAAUUAAUUAAUUUCCGCG
rnacentral:rRNA from 1 species